rnacentral:snoRNA from 1 species
AGAGCGAGGAUGAACGUUUCAAUGUUGUCUGGGUAUAAUAAAAAACAAACAAAAACU